GGGGAAUAUUGCACAAUGGGGGAAACCCUGAUGCAGCGACGCCGCGUGGAGGAAGAAGGUCUUCGGAUUGUAAACUCCUGUUGUUGGGGAAGAUAAUGACGGUACCCAACAAGGAAGUGACGGCUAACUACGUGCCAGCAGCCGCGGUAAAACGUAGGUCACAAGCGUUGUCCGGAAUUACUGGGUGUAAAGGGAGCGCAGGCGGGAAGACAAGUUGGAAGUGAAAUCUAUGGGCUCAACCCAUAAACUGCUUUCAAAACUGUUUUUCUUGAGUAGUGCAGAGGUAGGCGGAAUUCCCGGUGUAGCGGUGGAAUGCGUAGAUAUCGGGAGGAACACCAGUGGCGAAGGCGGCCUACUGGGCACCAACUGACGCUGAGGCUCGAAAGUGUGGGUAGCAAACAGGAUUAGAUACCCUGGUAGUCCACACCGUAAACGAUGAUUACUAGGUGUUGGAGGAUUGACCCCUUCAGUGCCGCAGUUAACACAAUAAGUAAUCCACCUGGGGAGUACGACCGCAAGGUUGAAACUCAAAGGAAUUGACGGGGGCCCGCACAAGCAGUGGAGUAUGUGGUUUAAUUCGACGCAACGCGAAGAACCUUACCAAGUCUUGACAUCCCUUGACAGGCAUAGAAAUAUGUUUUCUAUUCGGAGCAAGGAGACAGGUGGUGCAUGGUUGUCGUCAGCUCGUGUCGUGAGAUGUUGGGUUAAGUCCCGCAACGAGCGCAACCCUUAUGGUCAGUUACUACGUAAGAGGACUCUGGCCAGACUGCCGUUGACAAAACGGAGGAAGGUGGGGAUGACGUCAAAUCAUCAUGCCCUUUAUGACUUGGGCUACACACGUACUACAAUGGCGUUAAACAAAGAGAAGCAAGACCGCGAGGUGGAGCAAAACUCAGAAACAACGUCCCAGUUCGGACUGCAGGCUGCAACUCGCCUGCACGAAGUCGGAAUUGCUAGUAAUCGUGGAUCAGCAUGCCACGGUGAAUACGUUCCCG
rnacentral:rRNA from 1 species